AGGAUGAACGCUGGCGGCGUGCCUAACACAUGCAAGUCGAACGCCCUCCAUUCGGUAGCAAUACUGAUGAAGAGGGAGUGGCGAACGGGUGAGUAGCACGUGAGCAACCUGCCCCGAAGACUGGGACAACACCGGGAAACCGGUGCUAAUACCGGAUAUCCCUAUCGGAUCGCAUGAUCUGAUAAGGAAAUGGAUUCCGCUUCGGGAGGGCUCGCGGCCUAUCAGCUAGUUGGUGAGGUAAUAGCUCACCAAGGCAUCGACGGGUAGCUGGUCUGAGAGGACGAUCAGCCACACUGGGACUGAGACACGGCCCAGACUCCUACGGGAGGCAGCAGUGGGAAUCUUGCGCAAUGGGCGAAAGCCUGACGCAGCAACGCCGCGUGGAGGACGAAUGCUUUCUGAGUUGUAAACUCCUUUCAGCAGGGACGAUUGUGACGGUACCUGCAGAAGAGCACCGGCCAACUACG
rnacentral:rRNA from 1 species